GAUCUGGCAGGGGUUAAAUACAUCCAUAUAGCCUCAAGGGCUAUAUGUGAUGUAUUUUAGCCAUAAAAAAGGUAUUAUACAUUGCUGCCCAGGGCGCCCCCCCCCAGCGCCCUGCACCCUCAGUGACAGUUGGUGACUGUUGGUGAAGUGUGCUGACAACAAUGGCGCACAGCUGCAGUGCUGUGCGCUACCUUAUGAAGACUGAAAGUCUUCUGCCGCCUGUUUCUGGACCUCUUCAACUUCGGCAUCUGUAAGGGGGGUCGGCGGCACGGCUCCGGGACGAACCCCAGGGUGAGACCUGUGUUCCGACUCCCUCUGGAGCUAAUGGUGUCCAGUAGCCUAAGAAGCAAAUCCAUCCUGCACGCAGGGUGCACAGGUUACCAUAUCGCUGGAGAGCUGGAGUCUGGACACCAAGGAUUUACCAUAUGUGAAACACCUACGUAAAAAAAAUGACUUACCAUAGCUGGAUAAAACAGGAUGAAUACUGCAGAGCCAAGAAAACCAGUGGGACCCAAAAUAUAGACAUUGUACACCAUGCCAAGUACUGCAACAAUCGGCCCUCCUGCCAGUAGACUGCCCACAGCUGCAGCUUCAAACAUCCGCUGUCCAUCAUUGGAGCAAACAUUUAUAAGCUGGAAAUAAUAUUAAGAUAUGUAAUAUUAAGUCAUACGCCAUGCAGUUUAGCAGUUAUAUAAAAUGAUGUCUUCGCAAUUAAGCAGGAAUAUAUAAGAAGUCUAUAUUGGCGAGUUGCUUGCAGACUUUCCUGAACUUGCUUCUGUAUUUUUUAAUUUCACUCAAGCUGCAUAAAUUUAGAAACAGUCUGAGA